rfam:Capsaspora owczarzaki ATCC 30864 unplaced genomic scaffold supercont2.15, whole genome shotgun sequence.
GCGAACGUGGUUCAGUGGCAGAAUAGGUCGUUGCCAACGACUUGACCCGAGUCCGAUUCUCGGCGUUCGCA